rnacentral:rRNA from 1 species
UGCAAUGGGCGAAAGCCUGACGGAGCAAUACCGCGUGAGGGAGGAAGGCUCUUGGGUUGUAAACCUCUUUUCUCAGGGAAUAAGAACUGAAGGUACCUGAGGAAUCAGCAUCGGCUAACUCCGUGCCAGCAGCCGCGGUAAUACGGAGGAUGCAAGCGUUAUCCGGAAUGAUUGGGCGUAAAGCGUCCGCAGGCGGUUUAUCAAGUCUGCUGUCAAAGAGUUUGGCUCAACCAAAUAAAGGCAGUGGAAACUGACAGACUGGAGUGCGGUAAGGGCAGAGGGAAUUCCUGGUGUAGCGGUGAAAUGCGUANAGAUCAGGAAGAACACCGGUGGCNAAAGCGCUCUGCUGGGCCGUAACUGACACUGAGGGACGAAAGCUANGGGAGCGAAUGGGAUUAGAUACCCCAUAGUC